rnacentral:rRNA from 1 species
UACGUAGGGUGCGAGCGUUAAUCGGAAUUACUGGGCGUAAAGCGUGCGCAGGCGGUUCGUUGUGUCUGAUGUGAAAGCCCCGGGCUCAACCUGGGGAAUGGCAUUGGAAACUGGCGAGCUAGAGUGUGGCAGAGGGGGGGUGGAAUUCCGCGUGUAGCAGUGAAAUGCGUAGAUAUGUGGAGGAAUACCGAUGGCGAAGGCAGCCCCCUGGGAUAACACUGACGCUCAUGCACGAAAGCGUGGGGAGCAAACAGG